CGGGACGGGUGAGUAACGCGUGGAUAACCUGCCUCACACUGGGGGAUAACAGUUAGAAAUGGCUGCUAAUACCGCAUAAGCGCACAGUACCGCAUGGUACGGUGUGAAAAACUCCGGUGGUGUGAGAUGGAUCCGCGUCUGAUUAGUUAGUUGGCGGGUAACGGCCCACCAAGACAGCGAUCAGUAGCCGACCUGAGAGGGUGACCGGCCACAUUGGGACUGAGACACGGCCCAA
rnacentral:rRNA from 1 species